rnacentral:lncRNA from 1 species
GGGACUGAAAACUCUGACCAGGCGAGGGACUUCGGCCUCCCCUUGAAGGAUCGAUUCUACCUGCAGCCGCUGCCACCGGCGGAGGCGGCGGCGAGGGUGAAGACGUCGGCGCAGGACAUCAUCAACCUGAAGCCGCUCAUCGACAAGAAGGCGUGGCCGUACGUCCAGAACGACCUCCGCCUCAGGGCCUCCUACCUGCGCUAUGACCUCAAGACCGUCAUCGCUUCAAAGCCCAAGGAGGAGAAGAAGAGCCUCAAGGAGCUCACCGGCAAGCUCUUCAGCACCAUCGACGAUGUAAGUUGAAUCCUAUUGAUCAUUGAUCUAUCUGGAAGCAAUUCAAUUUCCUUCCCCUCAACCUUUGACAAGAAUUGUUGGAAAAUGACACGUGAGCUUCUCUUCCCGUUUUGGCAGCUUGACCAUGCCGCGAAGAUCAAGAGCACCCCAGAGGCCGAGAAAUACUUUGCAGCAACCAAAGAUGUGCUCGGCGAUGUUCUCGCCAAGAUAGGCUAGACGGAAGGGCUAAUAAUGGCCAUUUAAUUUCGAACUUGUGUUUGUUCAUAUGGAGCCGGCAAUGUACCAUUUUCUGUUGAUAUUGUAUCAGAAAGCACUUAACUAUGAUGCUAUCCUGAGUUCUUGAGACAAGUACUGUUGCGAGCUGAUGCAACAAUCAGAAACAGGUACCAACAACCUUAAUCCGUGAUGAGGUCAUCAAACACAUGCCUCCUGAUAAAGCCCCUAGUCCAGAUUCCUUCAAUGGGCUUUUUCUGAUAAAAUGUUAGGACACUAUAUAAGAAGAGAUAUGCACUCUGCGCUUUGAUUUCUUCAAUGGCAGUUUGAGUCUGGAAGCCAUCAACAAUUCACUCGUCAUACUGGUCCCUAGAGUGGACAAUCCUACAAGUGUCAGUGACUUCAGACCAAUUUCUCUUCUAAAUGGUGUCAUCAAAAUGUCACGAAUUAAGCUCGAGGCUAAUCUGCUACUAGCUAAAAUAAUACCAUUGAUUGAUACCAACCAGUACGAUUUUAUAAAAUUGGACUUUUACAAAAGCUGUUGAUACAAUUGAACACAAUACAAUCUUGCCGGUGAUGAAGAGCUUGGGGUUUCCUGAUGUUUGGACGAACUGGAUUGAGAGUAUUCUGGCUUCUGGAUCCUCCUCGGUCCUUCUAAAUCGUGUGCCAGGCAACCACUUCCAUUGCCGUCGUGGGGUCAGACUAGGUGAUCACUUGUCACCACUUCUUUUUGUGCUUGUUGUGGACCUCCUACGAUGCAUUGUCAACAAAGCUUAUCAUCAGAGCCUGUUCGAGCUGCCUAUUCCAUCUUUUGAGUUGGACCAGUUCCCCACUGUCCAAUAUGCUGACGACACUAUCCUUCUCGCAAUCGGUAGGGCUGGGAGUCAAUUAUAAGAAGUCUUGCCCUGUUCCUUUAAACCUCCAUAUGAAAAAGCUCAACUCCCUGUUUGUGUCUUCAGCUGCAAAUUAGAAUCUUUGCCUUUCACUUAACUUGGGUUGUCUCUGAGCACAACAAAACUUCGGGUUGAACUCUUCGGUUCCAUUAUGACUAAAGUUGAGAGGAGGCGCAUGGCAACUUCCACCUUCCUGACCCAUGUAGGAAGGUUUCAGCUAGUUAACUCAGUUCUCUCUUUCUUUGGAGGGGUUCCGGUUGUGGUCAUUGAAAUUAGCAAAGCAAGAUGUCACUAUUGGAGAGGUUGUGAUUCUAAUGGAAAGAUGAAACCUUUCCUGGCUUGGAUUAAAUGUUCAAAGCAAAAAAGAAAAGGUGGGUAGCAAUCUUAGGAGUCAAAACAAGGCCCUUCUUUUGAAGCAUCUGCACAAAUUUUAUAAUAAGAAGGAUACCUCAUGGGUGAAGUUGAUCUAGAAUGCCCAUUAUUCUCAUGACAAGGUGCCCAUGCCUCAACUAAUAGGGGCUGGUGGAAGGAUGUCCAGAAAUUAUGUAACAUGUUUAGAGGAUUUGUGAAGUGCAAUAUUGGGGAUGGUUCCACGGUGCUUUUCUGGUAUGAUCUUUGGAAUGGCAACAUUCUGGAAUCCAAAUACCAAGACUCUACUCUUUUGCCAGAAAUAAGAACAUCUUUAUUGCUAAGUUUAUGUUCAUCCGCCCUUAUCAGAGCAGGCCUUCCAAGAAUUCCAAUCCAAGACUUAAUUCAAGCUCUGCAUGUUUAUCAGAUUUCAAAGGAUUCCUGGGAAUACAUCUGGGGAAGCAAGAAUUACUCUUCCUCGAAGUGUUACAACUUUCCUUACAAGAAUAUAAAAACCUCAACCCUUUUUCUCUGGAUUUGGAACUCCAAAUGCUGUAACAAGCCAAGAGUCUUUUCAUGGCUUCUCCUGAUAGAUAAACUGAAUACAAGAAACAUUCUGAGAAGGAAAAAGGCAAAAGCUUCAAGGAAACAACUACAAUUGUGCUAUCUGCAGCAACAACAUUAGUCUGCAUUUCAUUUGUUUUUUAGCUGCCCCUAGCCAAACCUGUCGGUAACAUCUUGGAAUAAGUUGGGACUUCACAAUGGAUUUCUUCCAAACGAUGCAGCAAGCUAAGAUCCAACAUAACUACCCCUUCUUUAUGGAGACGUUCAUCAUUGCCAGCUGAAAAUUUUGGAAACAAAGAAACAAUUUUAUCUUUGAUAGAGGCCGGCCAUCCUUUGGAUCUUGGAAAAGCUCUUUCUAUGAAGAAGUUAGAUUGCAGUCUCGUAGGUUCAACGCUGUCAAACAUUCUGUCUUUCUUUCUUGUAUAGCUUGGCCUAGAUUAGCUCUGCGGCCCAAAUUGGGCUUGCUUUCUUGGGUCUCCUUUUGUACAGUGUUUUUGUUUUAUAUCUGUUAAUUAAAGCAUACAGUGGUAUUUUCCAAUCAAAGAAAAAAAACAACCUUAAUUCGUGAUCCACGUACAUCAAAAGGCAAAGGCGUCAAAUUGGAAGUUCGUCAUCUGAGGUAAAAUUGGUCAUGAACAGGCAAGCGUGACAUAGUUAUCCGACACCAAAAAGAACACCAGAUCACUCGAGGCCACAAACUAAACUAGUGAUGAAAUUCAUUUUGGCAUUUUGCUAAUCUUCAAGCAACAUAGGAAUGGAACAGAAAUGAGCUAGGAUGUCGUCAGACCUCUAGCCAAAUUAGCAUUGAUCGUGUAUUCAUGUCAAGCAUUAUUAUUUUGGCAAUUCAGUUAGGCUGCAGAUAAUAUAUAGAUUCUACAAGAUAAACUACCCCACAAUUCAGGCUCUUGAGUUUUUAAUAAUUGUACAAAAUUUCCACCAAAUAAGAAGUGCUUACAACAGCAAGGAUACGCUGGCUUAACAUACGCUACUGCUCCCGAAAAAGGGGUAUAGUCAGUGCACAAGAAACUUUCCCCAGUUUAUAUCAUGUAGUAAGCCUUCCAUUAUUUGCCCAGGGACAUCCAAUGAUUUGCUGACUCCUAUGAUCUGCAAGAAAAGCAAGUUAAGUACAUUCAACUUCGGGCUACAAAAGAAUUACCACAAGCAUAUAGGAGGCUUGAACUUUUUUUUUAAUAUAUGGAUAACUACAACCAGGCCUGCAGCAAAACUAAAAUCAAAGUAAAUAGUAAUCAGCAGAAACAGUCGUUGUGAAGACACAUUAUUUACUAUCACAGAUGAAAGGCUUCAAAUAUCAAGGGGAAAAACAAUGCUGCAGUAGUGAAGGAACAUCCUAUCUGGAUCAACAAUCAAACUGAACACAGUAAAAAAAAUAUAAUAUAAACCAAAUGGACUUAACUUCAUAAUUAUGGUUAGUCCUCCAAGAACAUCCAUAUGAUUAAAAUGCACCAGGAGUUAAACCGGGUUUAGGGCUGUCAUCUAGAUAGUUAAAGUAUUAAUUUGCAUAUCUGGGAACCUAAAUUUGCUAAGGGCUUCAUUCGAGAUCACAUCUCUAGUUAGCGUUGAUCAGCCUACUUGGCAUCCAAACAUCUCCCACUCCAUGUUAGCAUGCCACAUUAAUGAUAUUUGGACAUCGAGUGACAUUAAUAACAGUUUAGGGAACCAUAUUUGGUAGCAUGACAAUCAUUGCUACACUUUACUCAAUCCAUUAUCUAAGGUACUGAACAAGUGAACAGACAGGCAAGCUUUCAAGAAACUAAGUGAUCAUAAUUUCAGAGAAAAAAGAUCCAGAAUCAUAUUUACCAUUCAAGACAGGCACAUAGGUUUAGGCUCAGACUUUAGCAGCAGCAUCAGAUACCUCUUCCUUUGUAUCUGUGACUUCACUCGUUUGGUCAUCACCAGCACUACUUGCUUCUAGCUGCCUUUGCUUUGCCAAAGCUCGUCUUGCUUCCCUACGAAAGUCCCUCUUGGCAGCACGAACCUCGUCAAAGCCCUCUUUAAUCUUAGCCUCUUCCUCAGGAGGGAAGAAGCCUACUUCCAUUUCGGCCAAAUCUGAAUACAUCUUUUCGAUCUUUGCUUUCCACACUAUCCCCAUCUCAGUAUCCAUUUUAUUGUAAGGUGUCUUCAGGAGGUAUUCAUCUAUCCCACCAGCUUUGUCAAUGCACCGAAGUGCAUGUGUGGUAACCUUGACUCUAAUGUGCCGGUCAUGAAUAUAGCUGAAAAGACGCUUCUCCUGAACAUUUGGCUUCCAUGAUCGCCUUGAUCUAAAUAAGCAAAAGAUAAUCCAAUAAGAUGCUUAUAAAAACAAUAUCAUAGCCUCAGAUUUGCAAGGUAUAAAUAAAUUCCGUCACUACCAACAAAUUUUUAGUGAAUGUUAUUGUCGUGGAAAUUUAACUAUAAGGGAAUCAUUUUAAUGUCAUACUGCAGAAGUUCAUAUUCCACCUAAGAUUUAAGAAUCUGCCACUUUAAAUAGAUAGGCAACAAUGCAGGUCUUAACAUUAUCUCUAUUAAGAGAUGGAAGUGUAGAGGCCAGAAUAAUCCCCAGAUAUAUCUAGUGUAGAAUGGGCCCACAGACCCAACCCUAUGUGCUUCAGUGAUUGGGUCAACGAACCAGCUGAGUACCGAUACGGAUUUAAUAUAUCCUAUCAAGACAUAUUCCUCCAAAAAACUACAAGUGAACACAGAAGGCAACAGAUACAAAUGGGUCAUAUUAUUUAUUUAUUUAUACAUGAUGAAAAGCAGAUGAAAAAUAAUGCUGCACUGGAUGUUUGGGUGUGUUGUAACUCUCUUCUUUUAAUGCAAUGAAUGUUGCACCGGAUGUGUUAAGACUGUGAUGGUAAGAUCAUGUCAUCAUGCGAUAAUGAGUUGCAAGGUUAUGAUAUUUUUCUCAAGAUGGCUGAUGGUUUUAACUUAAUUGGAGGAAUCUAUGAAAUAAUCAAGUCGUGUGGUGUGGCAUUGAGGGCAUGUUUGGUUCCUGGGCAAUCCCCUUGCCAUGCCGAUCACUGUUUGGUACCAAGCAUGAGACUCACUUUGCCUGGAAACCUCACCCAGCUGGGCAACGAAAUCCUUGCCCGUGCAGAAGAGCCAAAUCUGCUCUCCUGCACAAGCAAGGUUGUGUCGCACAUCAUAUGCUUCCUCAGAGCAAUCUCGCAGCAGUGGACUCAGCCUGAGCUUGAAAUACUGAAGCAACAAAAUUGAACUGUUACACAAAAAGAAGGCAAAAACGAAGCCAUGCGGCCUAGAUUGAAACAUGAAUCAAUGAUCAGGUAGACAAACCAUAGAGAUUGGAGAAGAUCUCUGCCGGUCUGCCCUGCUACCAUUAUCAGAGUCUUCAGAGGGAUGUGCCAGAGCCAGUGAAGCACACGGGAAAGUUGAGGCGGCGUGGAUAACAGAGGCGCGCCGGUGUCAUGCUGCUAGCCAUGCUUGUAGCCAUUCCCGUGCUCACAUAACCAUGGUCAGGUUUUGGAAAUGCAUUUCAUUUGGGAUUUGAUUUGGUGGGAGGUUGAAGAAACGGAAAAGGGGAGAAAGGGAGGUGAACAAGGUUAGGAACCAAACAUGAAAAUGUUUUUUGCCACACCUUGCUCAGCGAGGUUGGGAAAAGGUUGCCUAUAGCCAUGGUUUUUGAGGCGUCGCCUAGGUGUUGAGGCGUACCCCAGGCGCCGCAGGAUGCCACAGGGUUUUAGUUUCGCCAUAUCGCCUAGGCGUCGCCUAGAAGGCACCUAGGCGUCCAGGCGUACCCCCAGCACCACAAGACGCUGCAACACCUCAAAAACCAUGCCUACAGUCUGCAUAGCCUACACUAGCAAAAGAUCCAAAGACAACCUAAACGGCAGGAAAAAACAUGCUGGCACAGUGGCACCUCAUUCACCCUUUCAAGAAUUUACACUAACAGAAGGGAGUACAAAGUAGGCUCAUUUUCUCUUGUGAAACAAGCUUGGAAAUCGUAGCUCCCUAUGUUAGCAUCAAUGACAUAGAUAGCAAAUUAUAUUGCAUUGGACAGACCAGAAAUUAUGUUGGUUUGGACAUUCGAAUCAUCAAGAAUAUAUGAUUCAAACUAUCAAUGACAAAUGUUCCCAAAAGUGCCUGAAUCACUUUCAAUUCUACCACAGCAUCUGGAAGUAAUAAGGAAAUUGGUUUGUCCAGGCAAGUAAAGCUUCCAAAAAUGGUAGGCCAGAUGGGAGGGAAACUGGACAAUGUAUCCCUGCUCUCCCAGAUAGUGGUCACCCUUGAUCAUGCCAAUUCCUUCUCUGGUUCUAUGAAAUUUGUGCAUUUUACUUCAGGGACCAAUUCUUUCUGUUAUUCCAGGUCGAUGCAUCAUAAGUUUCCCAAGCAAGACUGAAACCGGAGUCUUCAUCAUCCAACCCGCUAACUCUAAACGCAAAAUCUGAAUCCUCGUUUCAGAAACCGGGCAUCUUAAUUUCUCCAGACAACGCCAACUCGCAUGGAUCAGGACGAGGGGGGAAUGGAUUACGGAGGUGAGACGAGAGAUGGCUCACUUGUUGCCGCCGUCCUCGGAGACCUUGUUCCCGAACCGGAUGUGUCGCCCGGCGAAGAUGCCGCGCUUGGCCCGCCCCAUGACGACAUUGCUGUCGGGGAGCAUGUCCUUCACAGACUUCAUCAGCUCCGCCGGCAGCUUCCCCUCGCCGCCGACACGCCGCACCACCUUCUUGUACAUCUCCUGCGCCCGGAACGACAUCUUACCCCCUCCUCUAGACCUCACCUCACCCUCUUGCUACGACGGCGGCGCCGGCGGGCGGUUGCCUCGCGAGGUUUUGGUGCCUAGGGGCUAGGGCGGCAGGGCGAUGCAGUGCCGGACGAGAGGCGGAGAGAUGCUUCCCACUCGGCUGGCCGCUAGGGCUGCAGUAUUGGGCUUUGGGCCGUUGGUAUCAGUGUUGGUGAAUGGGCCUAAUUGGUUCCCGGCUGUAUGAAAAUUGUUAGGCCUUGUUUAGUUUCUUAAAAAAUUAGAAAAUCGACACUGUAUCACUUUCGUUUGUAUUUGAUAAACAUUAUUCAAUUAUAUACUAACUAGACUCUAAAGAUUCGUCUCGUUAAUUCCGACCAAACUGUGUAGUUAGUUUUUAUUUUCGUCUAUAUUUCAUACUCCAUGCAUGCGUCUAAAUAUUCGAUAUAACGGAGAAUCUGAAAAAUUUUGCAAAUUUUUUUGGAACUAAACAAGGCCUUAGAUGUCCCAGAGAAACAGAUUGAGAUAAUGUCCAGGAGAAUUUUGUGAUUAUAAUAAAAAAGAUGAUAACAAAUUAUUUCCAACCUACACAAAAUAAUAUUUUCCUCAAAUAUCCAUAAAACAAUCAUUACUUUAUCAGGUUUUGAUAAAAGAAGAAGAGAUGAUUGUGUUGUAUUCAAGUAACUUGAGGAAAAUCAACUCUCAAAAAAGAAACUUGAGGAAAAUCAGAAAUGAUCAUGAUACGGUGCCUUUGGGCCUGUUUUUGUUCUCCUUGCUAAAUUUUAACUAACUAAACUUUAGUCAUUUUAAUAGCUAAACUUUUAAACAUAUUGUCUAAAAAGAAGCUAAAAUAGUUUAGAUAUACUAGUCAUCCAAGAGUAGCUAAAAUAAUUUUAGUUGGCUAAAAUUUAGCCGGAGACACGUGCGCAGCUUUGUCCACUUGUGUACAAAUAAGUGGUUUUACACUGUUUUGUAUGAGGAUUGCAUGAAAAUCCAGGUGGAUUGUGAAUUAAGCACCUGUGAUUGGCAACGGACCAACAGUUUAGAGCGCUGCAUAUGGCCAAAAAAAAUCCGAUAUCAAAUUAUAUUGUUUAUAUUUAUGUUAUAGAAAAAGCCGAAGUACAGCACUGCCUGUCUGCCUUUUGUGGCUUGUUACUCGUAAUACUGAUGAUGAUACCAAUGGAGAGCAUGUCGGCUCACCCUUAACCUCAACGUCUCUCUUUUCGUUAGCGCGAGCAGACACCUGCUAUAGCUUUGAAGCUUUCUGCACUGCUCGUGACGCGGAAUGUGUAAAGAAAACCAAAGCCGAACACAGAGCGGUGGCCGGAGGGAUAAAGAACACCAAAAGCAGAGACCGGACACCGGAGGCAUCUCUCUCAUCACAUUCACAAGUCACAACAGUCCAUUUCAGCCUCUGCACUGUCACUCUGCGCCCUCUUUUCUCACUUCUCAGCCUCCCAAGGCACACGCACAGGGCCCCGGAGGAGAGCAAGGACAGCGGAGGAGAAGCUGCACGAACCAUGGCGAGAGUAGAAGCGGUGGUCAUCUGCCUCCUGGUCCUCGCCAUGGACGUCGCCGCCGGCGUGCUCGGAGUCCACGCGGAGAAGGCUCAGAACCAGGCAAGUUUCCGUUUCUUUCUUCUUCUUUUUUUCUGUGUAGUGUACCGGGAAACGUUGGUAUUCAGGCUGCCCGGCGCUCACCUGGUGUGGUGCGGCUGGCGAUUGCUGAUUGCAGGGCAGGAACCUGCGGAUCCUGUUCAUCGAGUGCCGGCAGCCGGUGCGGCGGGCCUACGAGCUCGGCAUAGCGGCGGCCGCGGUGCUGGCGGCGGCGCACGCCAUCGCCAACGUGGCCGGCGGCUGCGCGUGCGCCUGCUCCGGCGACAAGCUCCGCCGGGCGUCGCCCAACCGCCAGAUGGCGUCCUUCGCCUUGGUCCUCACCUGGUACGUUUCCGUUCGUUGCAUGCUUGCGAUCGAUGAGCGCCGCCACAGAUUCUUGCAUGCGUCCUCCACUCCAAACAAGCGGAAAGGAAACGAAGGGGGACCUCGCCUUUCGAACACAAAUGCUUGUUUUGCUUUACUGACAAGCGAUACUUGUCGUCGUGGCUGUGGAGCAGGAUGGUCCUCGUCGUCGCGCUCGCGCUGCUGGUGCUCGGCGCGCUGCCCAACGCGAAGCGGAAGCUGGCGGAGUGCGGGGUGGCGCGGCACCGCUUCCUCUCCAUCGGCGGCGUCCUCUGCUUCGUGCACGCGCUCUUCUGCGCCGUCUACUACGCCUCCGCUAGCGCCGCCGCGCGGGAGGAUCGCCGCGCCGGCGCCGCGCCGCACGCGUAGUGUGUCCCUCCAUGACGCUGUAUCGUGCUCUUGAUGAUGCUGUUGCGCAGAAGACACACUAUACGCCUGCUGUAUUGCUCAGCUAAUCCCAUAUCUUCUCCGCCGCGAGAUCACAUGGGAUGUAAAUUUGUUUGCCUGGUUUCUUGAACGAUCAUGCAUGGUUGUUGGUAUGCUCGCCGUACGUAUCAGUGAAAUCUUUCAGGAACUCGAUGGCACGAUGCUUCCACAGUGGUCUCUCGAUCAGCACAAUCGAGAAUGGGUCGAGUUGACACAACAUUCAUGAGAAGUUCAGCACCGUGUGACUUCUUUUUUUUCCGUCCGGGAUCGCCAUAGGUAUAAGGUUCUCAAAAUUUUUCAAGAUUAUAUUGUCACAUCAAAAUUUGCGGCUCAUGUAUGAAGCAUUAGAUAUAGAUAAAAAAGAUAACUAAUUGCAUAGUUUAUCUGAAAUUUGCGAGACGAAUCUUUUGAGUCUAAUUAAUCUAUGAUUAGACAAUAAUUAUAAAAUAAAAAUGAAAAUGCUAUAGUAGCGAAAUCCAAAAUUUUUCAUGAACAAUGCCUAAGAUGGAUGUGGCCAAACGGGCCGAACGGCGCAGAGUCGAGAUCUUGUUUGGGCCUUGUUUAGUUUAAAAAAAAUUGUAAAUUUUUUCAGAUUCUCCGUUAUAUCAAAUCUUGCGGCAUAUGGAACAUUAAAUAUAGAUAAAAAUAAUAAUUAAUCACACAGCCUGUCUGAAAUUUGCGAGACGAAUCUUUUGAGUCUAGUUUGUCCAUGAUUAACAAUGUUUGUCAAAUACAAACGAACGUGCUACAGUGCUCGUUUUGUCAAUUAAAAAAAUGGAGCUAAACAAGGCCUUGGUAUGGCUCUGCAUUACUGGUGGAGUAGGGUUUUUUUAGUUUUAUUGGUAGAAUUGAAGCUAUUUUGGAAAAAGUUUGGUAAAAAUAACCAAGAAGAAAAUAGUACUUUUAGGUUCAUAUGGAAUUCACCCCUUGUGAAACUUAUAAAAUUGGAGCCGGUUUGGUAGAGCUCUCCUUCCAUAUUCUUGAGCUUCACUUCUUGAAUCUCCGACGGAAUGAUUCUAUAAGAGAAGCACGAAGCAGGUGGCUAAACAGGGAGCAGGGGAGAGUGGGAGGUUUUUUAAGCUCUAAGCUCAUAGUGUAAAUGAAGAAAUGAUCUUGUCAGAUUCCAAUUACAUUUUAAACGUUUGGUGGUGAUCCAAAAAAUCCGCUCCCAAGAAGCUGAGAGCAAUGCUGUACUAAAAUGACUCCUAAAUUUUAAGGAGUUCUACUUGAAAAGAUGUUCCAUUUUAACUUGUUUUUUUAGGGAAAAUGGAGGGGUUUGCACCCCUACAGGAAAACUUUAUUAAGCUUAAAGGAGGUUUACAGGUAAAGAAUGAAACAAGUACAGAGGAAAAAGCUAAAGGAGGCCUCUAGGAGACAAAGAAGUUAAGAAAUAAAAUACAGCUGAGAUCGAAAGGAUUGUAUGAUUUGGAAAGGAUCUAACUCAUGGUCAAUCUAAAGACUGAGCCAACUCCAACAAUGAGUGGCGAAGGGGCACUCCAAAAAAAGGUGUAAUGAGGAUUCUUCUUCUGAGCUCGUGCAUAAAAUGCAGCUGUAGUCUUGAAGUUUCAUACACUUUCUUCUUAGGAGCUCCCUUGUGCUUAGUCUGUCUUUGAUCAAUAGCCAAAAAAACACCUUGUGUUUGUUCUGACAAGAGGAUUUCCAUAACCAUCUAUGUGCGGGAUUGAAAGCCCAAGUUUAGUUUUGGUAAUUAAUGACACCAAGUUGCUAAUGUCAUUGUGUUUUAGUGAUUUGAGUUAGGCAUAGCAACACAUGUGAUGAAGGAGAAAUGUGACAUGGAGUGGUGGACAUAUGAUCACAAAGAGAUAAAGCAUGAAGUGGAGAUCAUGGUGCUAGACAAGGAGUAAAGUGAUCAAGGCAAAUGUAUGAACAUAUGAUUUUGCUUUUGCCGAUCUAAGUUAAGUAGAGAAGUGAUUAACCUGAUUUAGGAUAGAUAGCCGACUAACAAGAGGGGAAAUCACGGUCAUCUCUUGAAUCAAGUGCUACUAAGUCCAUAUCUUGAGCAUAUGUAUUAGGAUCUAGUAAAGUGCUAACCUAACUUAUUUGAUGAUAAUGUUUGUGAAAUACUAACACACAUGCAUAAUGGUGGUGAACACUUGGUGGUGUUAGCGUAUUUGCAAAGGAGGUGGAGUUCUUAGGGUAGAGACGAAUUUGGGUUCCUGUCUCCCUCCCGCCGAGCUUGCGAGGCAGGAUUCAACGCUUUCGAAAAAAUGAAAUGCAUAUUUUUUACUACGCAGGAGAUUUUUUUUGGAAAAAUCACGCGAGUGUUUUUUAUUGAGAAACACUCGUCGAACGCUGGAUCAGAUAGCGUCGAACAGUUGAGGCCACGUUCGAUGAGUGCAGCGCAGUAAGGCACAAACAGUUGAGUGCGUCUUAGCGUCUCACGAGUUCGCGUUGGACGCGGCUCCAAUAAUAUUCUUGUGGCCGGUGAUUUGUUGAUGUCAGCAAGCGAGUGAGCGAUUGAGCUUUUGUGGCUGUGAGCGUCAUACGCUAGAGAGCGUUCGGUGAGAACGCGUGAGACGCGUCCGACGAUGCACGUUUGCAAACCUCUCUAAGUAGCGCCCGACAUGAGGUGGUACGUUCGAUGUCGAGCAUCUGACAUGUCUGAUGCUCUUGUUUCCUAAGUUUUAACGUUCUAGUGAUUGUUGGCAAUCAACGGUGCACGUUCAAAGUUGUACACAUGGUACGCGAGGCACGCGAACGUUAGACGCUCUGUGACGGGGUGGCGUCGGAGCGUCCGACGCCCCUGCAAAAAGCCUAACAGCUAGUUUUCGAGUCAUCCUCUUUAAAUAGAAGGUGGUCGGCCUUGGGGGUUUCACUCUUGCAUCUUUGAACACUUGAGACAUAAUUUGAGCUAAAGAACACUCCCUCCACUCAUCUCUCUGCUUGAUUGCUAAUCCUAGUGAGAUCCAAGUGCAUUGUUUAGUGAGUUGCAUCUAGUGACACUUGAUCCUUAAGUUUGCUGUGGAUUUCUGUUACUCUUGGGUGUUUUCCGACAAUCUAGACGGCGUGGAGCAGCGGAGAAUCAUAAUUGGCUACUCUAGUGAAUUGCUCGUGGCUUGGAGGAUCACCGGAGUGGAUGUGCGGUACCCGCUGAGAGUUUGGCUUGAAUUGCCAAUUAGCUCGUGAUCCAUCAAAUGGGUAUAUCGCCACAUUAAGGACUAGCUUGCCGAGAAACAAGUUAACCUCGGUAAAAAAUCGUGUGUUAUCUCGUGCUGAGGAUUCUCUAUUGUGAUUGUGUUUGUAAUUCAUUGGAUAUAUCUCUUCUCUACAACGUCAGUAUAAUAAUCAUUCUUUAUUCUUUUACUUACUUGCUUACCUUGCUAAUUGUUUAGCUUAAUUUUUGUUUAGAGUAGAGCUCUUGUGUAGCCUUCUCUUAUUGUUGUGGUUUAGCGUUUAACCUUAGCCUUGUACUAAAUUAUUUAGGUAGCUUGCAUAGCUUGGUUGAGGUAGUACUAAAAUUGCUUCGCCAUUUGUUUUAUUAACUCACUUGUAUAGUAACGUUUGUAGAAAUUUUAAAUAGACUAUUCACUAAAAAUCUCGGACUUGCUGUAUAAGUUGAUCAUGCUGUAACCCGACGUAUCAAAUCUAUAUCUCUUAUAAAGAUAAACUUCAUACAUGUGCUUCAAAAUUCGAUUUGACAGAGAAUUUUGAAUUUUUUUACGUCCGCAUGAAUGUGCACGGAGUCAAAAUGCUAGACACUGACAAGUGGUCCACACCAGUGACACGUCACCGAUCCGGCGAUUUCCGCUCUGCGCGCGCGUUUGCCGACGCGGAACCGCGCAAACGAAACGAAACGAGCCCUCGCGCGCCACGCCGCCUCCACCGCCUCGCGCCGCUUCCGGAUCGCGGACCUGCGACCCGCGCCCACCCCACGCAUCCGCCGUCCGCGCGAACGCAUCCGACGGCUCCCCACCCACGAUCCGCGUGAUCGACUCCCAUUGGCUGGCCCCGUGGCCCCACGCCCCUAUAUAUAUCGCCCCCCGCACCGGACAGCCUCUCAUCUCCCGCGACCCGCGCGCCGCAGCCUCCCGUUUCAAUCAAUUCCUCCAGCGCAAGCCGUCUCGUCGUCGUCGUCGUCCGGUCGUGAGGAGAGAUGGCGGGCCGUGGCAAGGCGAUCGGCGCUGGCGCCGCGAAGAAGGCGACGUCGAGGAGCUCCAAGGCCGGGCUCCAGUUUCCCGUCGGCAGGAUUGCCAGGUUCCUCAAGGCCGGCAAGUACGCCGAGCGCGUCGGCGCCGGCGCCCCCGUCUACCUCGCCGCCGUCCUCGAGUACCUCGCCGCUGAGGUUCGUGCCCCGUUGUCCUUUUUCCCUCCCUUCUUGUUGCGCUUGGCUUCGUGUCCGUGUUGAUGCCGUCUCGAUCUGGUUGUUUCGCCCUGGGCGAUUGUUCCUAGAUCUGAAUCGAAUCGUCUCCUGGAUUUGUUGCAUUGUAAUUUGAAAAGGCUUACGGCACUGGGUCUCAAUUAUUUGCUCGGAAAACACCAGGCCUUGUUUAGUUCCGAAAAAUUUUGGGAAAUAGACACUGUAGCGCACUUUCGUUUGUAUUUGAUAAAUAUUGUCGUCUAACUAGGCUCAAAAGAUUCGUCUUAUCAAUUUCGACCAAACUGUGCAAUUAGUUUUUAUUUUUGUUUAUAUUUAAUACUUCAUGUAUGUGUCUAAAGAUUCGAUGUGACGGGAAAUGUGAACUAAACAAGGCCUUACAUUUUAUCAACUAGUAAUUGUUAACAUGUGCUCAUGUAGAAAUCAGAAAUAUAUGGUGAAUGGCAAUUAAAUCGACUCGUCUGCUCUAUCAGUUGCAUUGUAAUACUGUAAUAUAUCUUUGGAUUCUGAAGUUUAAGAAAUAAUUGCAAUGUUGAACAUUAAACCUGAGGUAUAUGCGAAGGUUGUGGCAUUCUGUCUUGUCCCUGCUAACCUAUAUGUGCGUUCUCUGUGGUGCAUCAACAGGUCCUCGAGCUUGCGGGAAACGCCGCGAGGGACAACAAGAAAACCCGCAUCGUGCCUCGCCACAUCCAGCUUGCCGUGCGCAACGACGAGGAGCUGACCAAGCUUCUGGGCGGCGCCACCAUCGCGAGCGGUGGCGUGAUGCCCAACAUCCACCAGCACCUGCUCCCCAAGAAGGCUGCCUCGUCCAAGGCCAGCGUCGACGACGACGACAACUGAGUCUCCCCGCCGCGGAUGGGACUCGAGGGCCGUCUUGUUUCGUAGGAUUAGCAGGCUGUUGGCUUUGAUUUCUUGGAGAGCUCGAUGUGCUGGGAAGCAGAAGUAGGAGAGGGUCACAAUAGUUUCUUGGGUUGGUUGGUUCCCUAGAUUCUUUGCAAUGGGAUGUGAAUACGGCUAAGUUUUUGGGUUGUGAAACUCAGGGAUGUACGCCAGAUAAUUUAAACGUUGAAGAAGAAAUGGAAGGGGGUUAAAGUUUGAACAAUCCUUUGUGAUGUGUGAUCUCGAUGUCUUAUUUGCAUUCCUAUUCAGAACUUGUGCCUGCGUUCGCUUCUGUUCACAGCUGCAGCUGGCUCCGUUGGGAUCUUUGGCGCUAGUGUAUCCAGAGCAGUUGUGGUAUCUGAUCUGCAAGUCGAUUGAUUUUGCCGUAUCACAGUGCUACAUUGUUUUCUUUGAGAUGGCAAACUCGAUGCGAUUCUGAUGUUUUUAUCGAUAAAUUUAACUAAACUAAUGGGCUAGUUGACAUCCAAUAGAUUCUAAAGAAACCCGCCAAAGUGCCCGUGAAAACUGAAUCAGUCACAGGCGUGCCGUUGUGAAGCUGACGCUAGGAGAAAAUGUUCCGUUUGUGUAGGUGAGCUCAUGCGCAUCCACAUCCGGGUCUCAGGCCUUUAGUUCAUCCAAAAAUAAAAAAACUUCUCUGUCAAAUAUAUGAUAUAUGUAUAAAGUAUUAAAUAUAAAUGAAAAUAAAAACUAAUUAUCUGAAAAUUGUCAGAUAUUUUUUUAAAUCUAACAAUUAGAUAAUAAUUAUCAAAUAAAAAUAAAAUCAUUACCGUAUCCUAAAUCAAAAAAUUCGGACCUAAACAAUGCCAUUCUGCACCGAGCUUCAGCAGUUGCAUCGCAUCUCGAGCACCUGCCCUACUUUUUUUUUGGAAAGGGUUGUACUCUGAAUUUAGGCCUUGUUUAGUUGGCAAAAAUUUUAGUUUUGGGUAUCGUAGCAUUUUCGUUUGUUUAUGGCAAAUAUUGUCCAAUCAUAGACUAAUUAGGAUCAUAAGAUUCAUCUCGUGAUUCACAGGCAAAGUGUGUAAUUAGUUUUUGUUUUUAUUUAAAUUUAAUACUUAAUGCAUGUGUCGCAAGAUUCGAUAUGAUAUGGAAUCUUGAAAUUUUUUUGGAACUAAACAAGGCCUUAGUAGCAUGUUAAGUGCAACAGAUUGACUUCAUUUUUUUUUUUUGGCUGCGGAAGGGUUCACAAAUUUUGUAGUUCUACAAAAAUCCGAAAUAUCGGAAUAUUUAUGAACUCAAGGAUUAAGAACUAUGGGUACGAUUGGUUGACCUCCAGACUUGUGCAAUUUGAUAAUGUUUAGUUGUCUUCAUAAGCUCUUAUGUAGGCUUGUAUAGUGCUCAAAUGGACCUAUGCAGCAUUAGGUAGUACAUUUAAUUUUAAAAUGCUAGACAAUGCAUAUUUAUAUAAACCGAUUGACAAAAACAUAUAUUUGAAUUCUACACCUUUACUAAAAUUAUGAGACCUCUAAAACUAGUUUCAAUGGAGGGUUUCAUAUUUCAUUUUCCAACACGUCAUAUUUUAGAAAAGUGCAAAAGAGUUUUGUCAACAUAAAAUUCUUAUAAUCUCUCUCUUCGUUAAUAUGGUGCCACAUCAGCAUAUUUAAUGUCUAUGAAACUUCGAUAAAAUCUCAUUGAGAGUGGUCUAAUAGAACAUACAAGGUGAUUGCAUGCAAUAAAAUGUAAACAAACAAACAAACAUACAUAGGCCUUGUUUAGUUCGCAAAAAUUUUCAAGAUUCCCUGUCACAUCGAAUCUUUGAUCGCAUACAUGAAGUAUUAAAUAUAGACGAAAAUAAAAAUUAAUUACACAGUUUACUUGUAAUUUGUGAAAUGAAUAUUUUGAGCCUAGUUACUUCGUGAUUGGAUAAUGUUUGUCAAAUAAAAACGAAAGUGCUACAGUAGCCAAAAACCACACUUUUUGCGAACUGAACAAGGCCAUAAUUUUAUUGGACUUGGUUUGUCUAUGCAUGACAACCAAACACAAUGAUCUAUAUAUUAUUGCAAAAAAAAAAGAUCUUAUUGCAUCGAUAAUCUGCAGCAGGGAACUGGUAUGAAUGGAGUGAGUUGAGUAGCCUAAAUGUGUCCAAUUGUUACCGCAGAACUUGUAAUUUGUAAACUAGAAAAACAGAGGGCCAAAGCCGAAAACUUGUGCUCAUACAAAUAGGACCAACUGACCAGCAGGCCGAAAUUGACGAGCAAGAGAAAGAAAACUCCGAGGCCCACGACCCGGUGGUUCCCGUGGGGCCCACGAUCCGGACGAAACGCUGUGGCGGCAAAACCAAAACCAACCCUCCACCGCACGGCACUCUUUCUCCAAGCCCCAUCGGACGGUUACGAUCGAUCCCCCACCGAGCCACGUCACCGAUCCGCGCCCUCCCGCCCCAUUGGCUACCCGUAGCUAUAUAAGACAACCACCCACCGCAUCCCGUCCUUACGCACUCGUCCUGUGUGUCCGUCCUCCCACCACCACCGCACGCUCCGCGCUUUCGCUUUCUCCCGUCUUCCCAAGCCUUCGCUUCGCUUCGCUUCUCGCUGCGGAUCCCCUCUCUGUUUCUAGCCAUGGCCGGGAGAGGUAAGGCGAUCGGCUCGGGCGCCGCCAAGAAGGCCAUGUCCAGGAGCUCCAAGGCCGGGCUCCAGUUCCCUGUCGGAAGGAUCGCCAGGUUCCUCAAGGCCGGCAAGUACGCCGAGAGGGUCGGCGCCGGCGCCCCGGUCUACCUCGCUGCCGUGCUCGAGUAUCUCGCUGCUGAGGUAAAGAAGACUUCCAAUUUUGCGGCUAUAGUCUUCGAUUUGGUUUUGAGUACUGAAAAAUUUGGGUCACCGGGGUUUCCUCUUUUUUCUUUUAUUUAAUAUAAAUUGGGGGUUAAUUGACGAAAUUACUUGGAUUUGAAGUACAAUAAUUGUUGGAUUUUGGCUAAACAUUCAAAUUUAGGCGGUCUAUUUCCUAGUAUCUAUCGAACCAGUGAGAAUUUUGAGUAAUCGUUGGGUUCUCUCCCUGUUCGUGCAGGUUCUCGAGCUGGCCGGGAACGCGGCUCGUGACAACAAGAAGACCCGCAUCGUUCCGCGCCACAUCCAGCUCGCCGUCCGCAACGACGAGGAGCUCUCCCGCCUGCUGGGCACGGUGACCAUCGCUAGCGGCGGUGUCAUGCCCAACAUCCAUAACCUGCUGCUCCCCAAGAAGUCCGGCGGCGGUAGCGCCAAGGCUGCUGCUGGUGAUGAGGACUAGAUCCCUGACCACGCCUUUCUUCCGGUGGUGGCACUUCCUGUGGGUGCGGCCGUAUCAACUUGUGCUUGUGUAGUAGUACGUUCUAGACUUGCCUUAGGUGUUGUGUUGGGGGAUGUGUUCCUGUGUACCGCUGCUAAACUAGGUUACUCUUGUGCUUGCUAAGGAUUAGUUCUGUAUUUGUUGCUAUAAACGGUGCAUCCUUUGGAUGACUGGUUGAUCAAACCUGGUAUUCCAAUUUACAGUUUGUGUUGGAUGGGUUCAAAUUUUUGGUCAGUCCAGUUGAAAAUUCUGAAAUGUUGUGCUGUGCAGUUUUGAAAUUCAUUUCUGAGAUUGCCAUCGGAUCAUUGGAAGGAUAUGGUGACCUCUGCUAUGUGGAUUUGAUGUAUCAACUAUUGGUGAUUGUGCAUGUGAAUGUGCGUUCAUUCAGUCACUCCCAAUCUCAGACGUGAAUUUCGGGACUGCAGCAAAGACUUCAAUCUGAAAGUGCUUUGACAUGAAAAUGUGGGCUGUGAUCUGAAAGGAAGCUGUUAGAUUGUUGCAUGUUUCAUGAUGCACAAUGAAGUUUUAUGCGGGCAGUUCUGAAUUUUUGCUCGAGAUUUCACUUACCCCGAAAAUUUAAACCGGAAACAUUUGUUGAUUGACAUCCAAUUUGCGAACACUUGGUUAUGGUUACGGCCUGCAAUUUGCGAACAUGGGCAUAUUUUCAGUCCUCUAAGCUCUAGUCUUCUAGAUGGAUAAAGCCAAGAACAGACUACCCUGAAGUUUUUUCACCAAGAUUAGGCUCUCAAGUUCUGUAUUUCCUCUCAGAACAAGGCUAAUUAGAGGAUUAGCACAGAUCUUGGCUUGAGUUAGCUGGGGAUCAUUCAGCCGCAGCAACUGCAUAAAUGAUGGAACAAACUUCUUGUUACACUUUGUGUUGGUUUGUUUGCAAGGGUAUUGUGAAAUUACAAACAAAGCCAUCGGAUUCACAAGUCUGCGCUGCAUUUCUCUGUGUUUUGUGUUUUGUACAAUGGUACAUUUGUACAGUGAACAGAAGAACAGUAUUAGUCAGACUACCUCCUGCAUUUACACCGGCUCUAAACUAGAGUCAGUUUUCUUCCAUUUCCUUUGAAUUGCCCAUUUUCCUCCAGUCACCUUUCAGAUAGGUGCUGUCUCGACCAUGAUCAUCCUUCUUGCUCGAUGGGAUAGAGUGCCAAACAACCCCCUUGGCCAAGAAUGCCAGAUCAGGUCUGAUGAUUUGCCAUUACCAACACAACAGUGUGUAAAGUCAGGCCAGGUGCCCAGGUUUCCCAAUUUGAUUGUCGAUCAGUGAAUGGCCAAAAUAGCGUUGAUUAAUCAUUCCCCAUCAACUUUCAUUUAUUUUGUAUCACCGCACUAUUGUUUGGAAGGGUCCAUUCAGUGCACUUUGGAGGGGAAGACAACCGGUUCCUUGCUAAUCGUCUUCAUCAGAGCUUGAGCUUGAACUGUCUGUCCUUUGGUCUUGAAUUGCUGGGAAUAGCUUGCGCCUGGGAUCAUUGAAAGAUGCUUGGGGUGGUUGAGGGGUCUUUGUUUUCUUUGGAGCCACUUUUGAUGCUUCUUUCACUUCUUUGCAAACCUUCUCCAGCAUUGCAAGGAAAUCUCGCACUACCACAAACAACCGCAGGCCCUCGUCUUUCCCUGUACUCCCAUGGAAAUAAUCAACAGUGCCCCGGACCAAGGACCGUAUUUUCUUCUCUUCCUCUAGCAACAAAGCAACAUCAGUUUGAGACUGCUCUGCGAAAUGCUUCAGCUUGUGGUGAAACCUGCUGUCUUCAUCCAGACUUUUCAUGCUCGUGUUAAGGAAUUCUUUGGUUUUGCCAAGCUUGUGGCCAAGGCUUGCUACUGACAUUGUCAAUUGAUCUGCAUCCAGGAUUGCUGCCUUCCUGACAUUUUGUAGCUCAUCACCUAAAUUGGAUACAACUUUCAGCCCAAGUUGUUUGUAAUCAUCUUCAGUUUGCAUAUUAUUACCGUCAGUAUCAUUGGCAUCCACACUGGAUACACUACAAUCCUGCUUUUUUGCAGCCCUUGUAGCACGGAUACCUUCAGAACGAAUGAUUUCUUGAACUACAAAAUGCAGAAGUGUUGUCUUCCCAUCAGUUCCUUUGACAUCAGAUAACUUAAGGAGCGUGUCAAGUUUAAAAGCCUGAGCUCCUCCACGGAAUGUGCCGACAUUCAUCCGGUUUCCUGUUUUAAGGACCGCUUCAAGCAGCUUCAAGAAAAGUCGGCUGUUUUUAAGCUCUUGGCAAGCCACCUGAUCAGGAAAUGCCAAGAAAGCACCGAUCAGAACAUUGAUCAAUAUAAAGAGUAGAGUUUGGAAGGAGCUUAUGCAAGUUGUCUCAACUACAUAUUAGCUAAAGUAAAAAAAAUCAAUAUCCACUCCUACAGGUGUGCACAAAUAGUGAGCAAAAGAAUCAGUCUAAGAAAACAAAAAUAAAAUUAAUACAUCAGUGUCAUAUAUAAUGUAUAAAUUGAGAGGUUACAAUGAAUGUGUUAUUACCUCUAAAGUAGCAAAAGAAUGUUUCACAUUUGAAGCUUCCUCUGGUAGAUUGGACAUGAAAAGUAAUGCAUCCAAGCGUUGGAAAAUAUAUGGAAUAUCAAUAAUUGCUUUUAGGAAUUGCUCUGCAGGACCAAGCUGAGACAGUUCCCCAGUGUACAGUCGAAGCCUAAGCUCCUCAUCAUUGCUUGGGGUCCACUUUAGUAGGGUGUCUAUCAAGUCCGGUGGAAGUUCAUUUCCUACAAAUUAGCAAGGGCAGUGGGUGAAAUAAAAUACAGCGAUGGGAAACAGUAUAUCUCAGAGGAACCAUUUUGGUCGCAUAUGAAAAGAUGGAUGUUUGAUAUUUGGAAAAUGAGCUAACACCUUAGCUCAGAAAAAAGAGAUUAGUCUCUAAUAUUUAUAUUUAGGUUAUGAAGGUGAGGUCAAAUUAAUAUAGUCAUGUAGCAAUGCCACUAUAUCCAAUAUUACAAGAGAAGUUCUAAACCAGAAGAUGGAGAAAUUAAACAUCAUUGCAGCAUAAGUGAAUACUAUUAUUUUUUUUUUAGAAAAAACUGUAGAAUAAAUAUGCAGUUACAAGACUAUGCAUUAAGAGACCUAUGCAUGUAAAUGAUCAGUAAUGGCAGAAAACCGAUUUUACCUUCCUUAACUGCACUACAUACUUCCUCUGGUGAAACACUCAAAGCCCUUAAUGAUAUCGCAAGGUUCUGUGCCUUCUUAGGGUCAAGUAUCCUCACAAACUGAGGAACAUCCUUAGAUAAUAAAUCUUUCUUGCCAUCACCGCCUGUUUUGUCCACAGAGUUAUAACCAAAAAGGCUUUCCAUCUUACCCUCAUUAAACCUGCGGACCAUUAUAGGUAACUGGUGUGAUAUACUGAUAUUGCAACAUUGAGCUAGCCGAGGUAAAUAACUGUAAAGGGAUCGAUAAACUUACUGGAACGAUCCAGACUUGAGGUGAUCCCACACCAUAGACUGAUUAGCAUGUGCUGUUACUUUAUCCCAAAAGAAGGGCUUUAGCUUUGUUUUAGCUUCAUGAGAAUUUGCGCCAUCAUCCAUCUUAUUGCCUGAUUUCUUCAUAAGUGGUGGUGGACGCGUUUUCGAUGAACCAGGCAUUGCUGGUGGUGGUGGGCCGGUAGAUUUUGGUGGUGGAGGUGGAGGUGCAGCUUUUGGCUGCGGUGCAUCUAUUGGUGAAGGUGCAGCUUUUGGAGCAGAUGGUGAUGAGGAUUCAGGGUGAAGAAUUGGAGUAGGUUUUGAAUGUGGUGUGGGUGCUUGAGGAGUUGAUGAGGGAGGAGCCUUCAGAGGUGCAGGUACUUGAGUUGAUGAGGGAGGAGCCUUCAGAGGUGCAGGUGCUUGUGGAGUUGAUGAGGGAGGGGCCUUCGGAGGUGCAGGGGCUGGAGGUGGUACAGCUGGUGGAGCUGUUGGUCUUGAUCCUGGGAAAGAACCAGUAGAAGCAGCCAUUGGUUCAGCCAAACUGUUGUACACUGCUGGGGUAACCUCAGUUUUAGAGAUUUCUGAUGAGCUUUGUUUGACAUUGCCAUUUUGGCCAGCCUCUGACUUCAGCGGCAGUGCUCCCAGCUUGUUGAUAUCAAUCGGGUUUCCUUGGGAAAACUUAAGAGAAGCAGCUACAAAAUAAAGCAUGUAAAUCAAUACUAGAAGACAAUGGCACAUUACUCCUACAUUUUCUUACAAGGAUUUGACCAACGGUUACAUCAUCAAUAUUUCAAUUAUGUGAUACAAAAUUAUAAUCGUAAGUAAAUGUUUAGUACAAAACUAACAGCAUCAAUUUUGUUGUUGGCCAAAAGUAUUGUCCUAAUGAAACAAAAUGAACACCAUAAUGUCAAACGGAUGCAAUACACUGGAGAAAGGUGGGUGGGUGUAUUUCAUACCAGACAAAUUACUCAGGUUCAGAUUCACAAGCAGUUUAUCAUCCCUUACAUCAGAUGAGGAGCCCUGUUUUGCACGGCAAACACAGCAGCAUAAGCAUAGAAGAGCUAACAGCGCUAUAGCAGACACAGACAAACCAAUGAGAGCAGUGGUUGGCAUGCCACUGUUAUCUUCCUUUUUGGCAGCUGUUUUUUCAGUUUGGGGCACUGUCUUUUCUUUGGGUGUUGUUUCUGAUGGAGGAACUGGAUUUUUGUCAGGUUUUGUUGAGGACGGUUCCCCUAAAGAUGGAUUUGAUUUCACAGCUGGUGGUGGUGCAGGAGUUGCUGAUGCACCAGGAGGUCCUUGAGCCACAUCGCUUCUUAACAUGGCAAUAAGCAUUUUGAUAUAAUCAAUAGGCAAGUUUUUUGCACUCUCCUGCGCAGCAACAACAAGUGGAUGCUUGCUUAAGCAGUUAAGCAAAGUGUUCUUAAUUUGUGGAGGCAGUGCUUUGCUGACAUUUUCAGUUUCAGGAGAGCUGUCCUUAGUAUCUUUUCCAGAGAGCGUACGGAGAAUGUCAAAUACGUGGUUGUAAUUGAAAUGUUUUCUAACGUCUUCAAGAGAUCCCCUGUCUAGCCCACAUGAGGUCCAUACAUGAUCCACCUGUACGCAAAGUAAAAUGUCACUAUGUCAGUAUAUGCAAGGAAAGUCUUUCAAGGAAUGCUUUCACCAUUAAUUUAUCUUGGAAUCAUUCUCAAUUACUACAAAACUUCCUUCAAAAAAAUUACUACAAAACCAUGUGAAAUAUGAAUCUAAGGAUGUAUCUUUCGUGCACUAAACAUACAUGUAUUUUACUAAUAGAUGAUCAAAGUUUAUUUUAAAAAAGAAAACCACCCUAGAUUAUGAAAUGGAGGGAACAUUUAUAAGUUAAUCAAACAUUAGUACAAUAAUUACUUAUAAUAAUCACAGUUUUGCUAAGAAACAGCAGUCACAAAAUAUAUAUAGCAUUAUGAAACAAAAAUACUGAAGAAGCAUUCUGCUGAACCAAUGCAGUGAUGCACAAUAUUAGCACAGUAGCGCAAAAAGUAAACGUUACAGUUCUUUUUAUUGAAACUUCAUCUUAUUGACAGUUAAAAUCAAGGUGCUGCAGGUGUCCAAGGGCAAUAUGAAACAAGAAUCAGCAAAAUCAUGGACAAGUUUGAAAAUACCCAUCAAACUUCAGUGAUCUGAUAGCUUCUCUUUCAGGCAACAUGCAUGUCCCUAGAUAAGGAAAUUGCACACAUACACCUCUGUGACGAACUAAUACUAAGCUCAUCCUAUAUACUCCAUAAAACAUUAGGUUCCAUUGAGCUUUGAGCAGCCUUGACGACCUCUACAUUCCUACCAACAGGGUAUCUGAUGCAUGCCUUGCUCUGAAUUUUCAUUUGUAACAGAAAUACGCCACUCUAGUGAGUAGAACUAAAAUAUAGGAACCUAUAAAAGUUCAAUUCAAUAAAAUAGACAGAAAUAAGCUUACCAGAUCGUCUACUUCUUUGACAAGGGGCGGUGUCAAGGCUGGCGGUGACAAGUUCUGUGCUGCAACGAGGAGCUGAACGGAGACGAGGCACAGGGCCAGGAGCCAUGCGCUCCAACAGUGCCUCAUCUUGUCUGCCUCCUACACUACUGCGACCAUGUCAAUACAGCUGCCCUGGGAAAUGCAACAGCAAUUCUUCUCCCCCCUCAGAAAUUUCUCGGGAUGGACAUUGGACAACAAUUCAGAAUUUUGCAACAGCUCCAGAAUGCCACCUCCUUCGGGGAAUACAUGCAUGCAGAACGCGUGAAAUUGGAGCAACAAGAGAGAGCUUGUGCAACAGACACCUGUAGACGCUCGGAAAUGCGCGAGCUCAGGCGAGGAAGCUCAGAAAGAAUCACAAACUUGCGGGAAUUUCGGGGGCGACCAAGGCAAAGAAGAUCGGCAUGCAAAGCGAGCAAAACCAGCAAUGGAGAGCCCCCUAGCCUCGACUCCCAAAUCCGUGAAGAAAUUGAGCCGGAGAAAUUGGGGGGAAACAAAAAUGCAGAUAAUCCAAGUACAGGAGACCGCGCCAAUGUCCCCCUUACCAAAAACAAAAAACAAAAAAAAAUUAUAGAAAAGUUGCAGCACCAAAUCCGCGGCAAAACAAGGAAUUUGACGCGCGAUUCAGCGCUACCGAGGACGUGGAGGCGAUUCCUUUCGCUGCCUGCUCCCUCUUUUCUCGUUGGCGUCUCUCCCCGAAACGGGGGAGGAAGAAUGGAAGAGGGAGGAGGGGGGAGGGCGGUGGAUCGGUCCCCUUGGAAAAUGGGACGACCUUUUGCUACUUAUAUAAUCUAAUCCAUUCGUGAUUUGGCGGAUUAAGCAACCCAAAUUUGGCCUUCGCGGUUUAGCGUGACCACCGCCCAGCCCAGUAAAGGAUUCAUGGGCCAAAGUCUGGCCCAGAUCUUCCAGCCCAGUAAUAACUUUGUAAAGGAUUCGUGGGCCAAAUUCCGGCCCAGAUUGUCGUGUGGCUUGAUUGACGGCGGCAACCUGGGCCUCUAGUAACACGGCGGCAACCGUUGGUCAGCCGGCUGCCCGGCUCGGACUGGACGGUCCCGUUGUCAUCCUUUUAUUUUUCCUUUUUUUUUAUUUCUUGUGGAGGACUUGGUUGCACAAAUGUUCCAAUCCUCUCAUUUGCAUGGAAAAUGACUCAACACUGCUGCAUAUAUUAUUGGCUAAUUAUUUCUUUAGUAGUACUAGAAAAUAUGUCCAUACGUUACAAUGAGAAAGGAAAAAAAUCUUUACAACUUGGUUGAGAACUCAGUCACUCAGGUGAUAAUUUGACUUAUGGUUAUGGCUAAUGUCAAUUAUUUUGAAAAUUGACGGCCGGCUCAAGCAUGACGCUGACACAUAAAAUGAGGGGUUGUUUAGUCCAGAGAAUUGAAAAGGAAUGUCCUAGACAACAUCUCUACGUUGGGUCCACCACUGUAUCCAACAAUCUAUUGUCCAUCUCAUCCCAAAAGGAAAAAGAAUUUGUCUCACCGCCCCUACGACUCGCUCGAAAUUUCUAUCUCUGUUCCAUGCCAAAAUCUUUGGUGACCCAUGACGGUCUUAACUCUGAAAAGAAGGCAAUUCAUAAGUUUUAAGAAUAACCCGUCAGUAACAAAAAAACAGAGCAGACACAACGGAAUAUAUACUUCUAAAAUAAUGCAUAAACCAGGCAACUUUGAACAUCCCUUGUCGAAACAAAAUGUUAACAUCAAUCACAGUCAUACUGUAGACUGUAGGGUAGAAUGAACAAACAGGCACGUCAUAUGCACACGAAAGGAAACAACAUUGGUUUCAGACAGAAAACACAAAUGAAACAAACUUGUGCUUACAUAUUUCAACCUGUCUAUUUCUCAGACAGAUAGCUGUCAAUGCAAGAAAGUCAAAAUAUCAGUGGCAUACCAUGUUUAUGUUACACAUAUUAUGGAAACUUCAUCUUAUAACACAGUGGAAACUUGCAGAAGAUACAAGUAAUCUUAAGGUUCAGACACUAGAACUGAAAAUAUAGUUCAUAUGAACAGCAAGUCAGCAACCUUAUGUACGUAGAAUGCAUCUUUAGUGCAGCCAAUGCAAUGACCAAAGGUUACAUAGCCAAUAAGCUUUAAAAUGUCUAAGAAAUCAAAUAGCCAAAUAGAAUGUGUGAAUAUUAUUAUCUCCAUAACACAAAAGAGCAUUGUUUGCAGCUUAGCAGAGGAAAGUCUCAAAUUGGUCAGUCAAAAAUACAUUGGUGUAUAGAGCAGAAACCUGAUUUUAUUCAAGCAAAUUGACCUGUCCCCUAUAUUCCAGCGGCACUAAGUAUAUAUAAAUGCUUUCAGAUAUGUUCUCAUCACCGAUUUAUGUUGUCAUCACUGAUUCCAAAACAACACAAACAAGAAAAUUAUAGAAUAACUCCACGAUCAAUAUAUCUUUGACCAGACCAUCCAAUGACAAGGUAUUAUCCUAUCAAGAUCCACCAAGCAUACAACAAAAAAAGUGGUUAUCCUGUUUAUUUUACAAGCGCCCUUAAAUUCUCUUUUACUAUUUCUUCUAUUUUCUUUUAGUUCUCAAAGAUUUCCAUUGGUUCUGCGCACAGAUAUGAGUAAAUGACCAUAAGAAAUUUUAAGAAUUUAAUAACAUGCCAAUCUAUUCUAAUUAAGGACCUACCAGUACCUCAAAUUUUAUUUACCUUUGGUCCCAUAUAUAAGUCCAUUUAAGUUUUUAUUACUAAAUCAAACCUUUUUAGCUUUUAACACCAGUGUCUAAAAAAUCAUAUAGGUUGAAAGCAUUAUAUUUAUGUUAGCAGAUUUUUUAUGAAACAAACUUUCAUAUUAUGUAACUCUUUUUUAUUUAAAACAAUGUACUUUUGUAGAUGUUGUUAGCAACAUCCAUGUCAAUAUCAUAAUGGACUUAUAGGAUCAUAUCAUUCUAAUACUUUAUUCUAUAUUCUAAUAUGAUUUUCACAUUCUAAUUUAAUAUUUCAAAUACAACGUUCAAUAUUUCUAUGACAGUGCAAUAUUGACCUUCCAGAUUUUAUAUAAUUAUUAAGACACGAAAGCUAAACACUGGGGAAUUUCCAUCACUGGAACUAAAAGAUUGAGGCUCAUUAUUAAUGAAUCAAUUCGGUUGUUCCUGGUUAUUAGUUAGGCAAUCAUACAAAUCGGUUUACUUCAUUUAGAACUCUCUCUACUGUGCUGCUCACUAGCAGUAAGAUGCAUGUGCUGUUCAACUUUUAUUUGCAUUGCUGAAUCCCAGGAAAGAUGCAUGUGCAGAGCUAUUUUGAAAGCACUGAUCCCCACAACACUAAACCCACCUCAAUGAUCAAUGGUUCAAUACAUUUUAUAACAAACAGAGAAGAGUAUUGCAAUUUGUGGAGUCGAUCAGGAGCAAAAUCAGAAUAGAGAAGCAGCACCUUUUUCCCUUGUACCAGACGGAGAAAUCUUCAACCACUGUGGGGGUCGGCGGUGUGAUGCGUCUACCCAGGGCCUGGGCAGACGGACAUUCAUCUGCCUGUUUUGAGGGUACAAUCUACUCGCAUUCACACUUAGGCCCCAAUCGAGGGCCAAAUCGAGGCCCACGACACCUGGGGCAGCGAGAAGAGCGCAACGCGCCGCGGCACCGGGACCGCCACCCCGGCGCAGCAUGCCAUGUAGGCCACCUGUGGCGGCGGCGGCGGUGCCGCCGGUCCAGUAGUCGUCUCUCCGAAGCGCGAGCGACGCUGCAAUUUCGAUGACGGAGAGGAAGAUGCAGUAUGCGCCGAACCUGCCGGCGACGCUGGGCGCGUUCUGCCGGACAGCGUUGACGGCGCCGGCGAGGCGGGCGCCGCUAGGCGAGGCGCGGAAGCCCUUGACGAAGUGGACGGCGGAGCCGCCCGCCAAGCCCCACGAGAACAAGUCGCCCACGAAGCCGACGUAGCCAUAGACAGGGUCCGGGCAUAUAUCGUACGACGGCGUACGGCCCAUCGGUUAGCGGCCUGUCCCAGACUCCGGCGGCAGGAAAGCUUCUUCUCGAGGCUUGAUGAAGGGAUCGUCGAUGCGGGCAGCGAUUUCUUAAUAUUAAAAUAAGUUAAUUAUAAAAAAAACCGUAUUAACAAGUGCCAUACUCGCUCCAUAUAUUUUGAAGUCGUUUUGAAGUCAAACAUUAAACAUUAAGAAUAUAAAUCAUCAAUAAAUUUUAAAUUAUUGAGUUUGCAAAUAUGAAAAAUAUAUGAAUAAAUUUGUUUUAAAAAAUACUUUUAUAAAAGUAUACAUAUAUUAUUUUUAUAAAUAUUUUUAUAAAAAUAAGAGAUCAAAGUUAUGUGUUUGGAGACCAUAUCGCUCUCCUAAACGACUUCUAAAUCCUAUAUGGAGGAAGUAGAUGUAUAAAACAACAUUGCAUAAUAGUAUAUUUAUUUAAUAAUACUUCCUCAGUCCCAAAAAGAGGUAUCAUUAGUAUAUAAAUAUUGAUAUUAAGAGCUUCUGGUAAAUAAAUAUUUAAUCCAUCUCAAAUAUAAGAUGAUUGAUUUUUUUUAUAUCUAGUUUGACCACUCGUUUUAUUCAAAUUGUGUAAAGUACCACUUUUUUUAUCGUGGCUUGGUUUAUUAAUAAAAGUUAUUCAAAAAUAAUUUAAAUUUGACUGUGUUUACAUAAACUUUUUGAAUAAGUCGAGGAUCAAACUUGGAGUAAAAGAAUCAAAUAUCUUAUAAUUUGGGGUGGAUAGAGUAUAUUGUAUCCAUGAUACAUGCAGAAUAUCCUCUAAAUACUUGAACUUAUUUGACCACUAUAAAACAUGUCCUAUAAAUCUUAUGAUUGUUACUCCCUCUAUUCUAAAUUAUAGGUCGUUUUGAUUUUUUUAUUAUAUUCAUUUUACUAUGUGUUUACAUACAUAUAAUAAUAUAUCUAGAUAUAUAAUAAAAUAGAUGAAAAAAAAGUUAAAGCGAAUGUGAAAAGCCUAGAUGAUCGUGAAUUUGACGUAUACAUAGAUUCAGACAGGUGCGACUCUCUAAAAAGAGAGGCACAAUGCGGAAAUCUAUAACUCUUAUAAAGCUAAAUCUCACUAGAUAAAUUCUCUCUUUAUGCAAGCUGUUCAUAUCAUUUCUCACUAAGUAGCCCACUAAAUAUUCUAUCUCUCCAUGCAAGGUGUCCACAUCAUUCUCCAUGUCAUCCCAUAUUAAUUAUAAAAAAUGACCAUGUCAUUUAUAUCAUGUGAAAUACUUUAAAUCUUUAGUGUAUUAACAUAUAAGUUGUGUACAUACACUAUUUGUUUCAUCACCAAUUAAAUCCUCUAUAAUGUAACCAAAUAUUAGUUUUUGUUCUAUUAGCUUAGCAAAUUUUUUACUAGAUCUAAUAUAAUAAAAUACAUGCAAGUCAAAUUCAUAUAUAUACAUACAUAAUAGACCAAUUAAUUCUUCUAUAAUGUAACCAAAUAUUAGUUUUUAUUCUAUUAGCUUAGCAAUUUUUUUACUAGAUAUAAUACAAUAAAAUAUAUGCAAGUCAAAUUCAUAUGUAUACAUACAUAAUAGACUAAAUACCAUAUAGUAAUAUUAUACAUAUAAUAAUUUAUUUUUAAAAAAAUCCCACAGCAACGCGCGGGGAAUUCACCAAGUAACUGAAAAUAGAGUCAGCACUGCUUAAUGCAGAUUGAAGCAAAUAUAUUGCCAUACUCGAUCGGCAUUCAGGGCUGUUUAUUUUCUCUUUUUAAAUUUUAGCCAGCUAAAACUAUUUUAGUUACUCUUGAGUAACUAGUAAGACUAAAUUAUUCUACCUUCUUUUUAUUCAGUGUGCUUUAAGUUUAAAUGCUAAAGUAACUAAAGUUUACCAAACUAAAAUUUAGCAACAGAAGGCCUCAAUCUAUCGACGCUACCUGCUAGCUUACCGGCCCAUAUUCAUAUUUGGCCCACGUCAUGGCGUGAAGUUCCAAUCGCCGAUAGAUAGGCUCCCGGAGUCCCGACGUUGCUUUUCAUUUUCUUUUUCUUUUUCUUUUUCUUUUUCUUUUUCUUUUUCUUUUUCUUUUUCUUUUGGUUUUCUGCCUGUCAAGAUGGCUUCUUUUAUUCCUUUUUAUUAAUGUUUCGAGAUUUUAUUUUCCUUUAAUCGUUUCCUUUCUAUAUAUUACUUCUAUUUAAAAAUGUCCCUUCAUCACCCAUUUGUUACUAUGGUUUCCUUUGUUUAAAACAGAAGCAAUAAAGGCAUAGGGAUAGCAUUCUCUCUUUUAUCUAUUUUUCCUUUCUUUCCAUUUUAAAUUGUUGUUUAACUAUCGUUUUAUAUCACUCUAUCUUUAUUAUUUCCAUUUCAAAUGUCCCAUUAUUCUGCCCAAAUUUUCUUUUUUGUUAGUUCCUUUUUUUAUAUAUUUUUUUAUUUUGCUUUGUUUUAUCUUUUAGUUAUUUUUAUAUUUUAUCGUAUUUUUCAUGAUGCUAAAAUAUUUUUGUGAACAUAGGUCAUCUUCCAUAUUAUGCUACAUUGUCCCCUAAACAUAGAACAAAUUUGUUGUCAAUCUAAACAAAUUCCACCUAUCUAGUAUGUGACUUUCUUUUCUUGAAUUUGAAGCAUAUUUGUAACAAAAAACUACAUAUAAUUAAGAGAGUCUUGUAGAUGACAUGCGAUAUGGUUAAUAUGGUAUUGAAAGCUAUAACUAUUUAAUAAAUUCUAAUGUCUUUAGACAGGAAAAAAAAUCCAAAACUAAAAUGUUGCAAAUCUUGUUAAGAGAUUUAAUCUUCUUAGAAAUUUCAUCUACAUCUAGGGAUGGAAUAGGUGCUCGUUUUCAUAUGGUUCCGAUGAAGGUAAGUUUCUGUAUCAUAUAUGAAUUUAAUUUUAAAUUUAUUUUAAAACUAUACAAUAGUUGCCACUGGAUAGUUACACUUUGAAAUCGGGGAAUUUUCAAUAAACUGGCAAGGCGACAAGUAUUAUUUCCAUAUAUAUGAUAUUGUACUGUUUUAUCCCCUCCUUCAUUCCCACACUAUGUAUAAGAACAUAUAUGAUUUAUAGGGUGACAAAGCAAGACCGGCCCUAGUGGUGGUUAGUAUGGUGUUGAAAGUUGUAGCAAUUUCUAAGCAUCUUAAGGAGUCAAAUCAAAAGAGGAAAAAAACCUCAAAACUAAAAAGCCAUAGAUCUCAUCAUCAAGAGGUACAAUUUUCAUACAAAAAUCAUAUUAAUUUAGUGGAUGCCAUAUAAAAAAGGACGGUGCUAUUUUCUUCUAAGGCACGACGAUGCUAAUCUUGUCACACGAGUAUGGGUGGCAUAGCAAAAUAGAGUUACCACGCUAGCGAGAGUGGCAUGUUGGUUUUGACAUAGAAUAUGUGCCGGUAGACCUCAUUUUGCGCUACAAUGCGUGAUGUACAUGUGCCACACGCCCACACACCCACACAAACCCAUACGCAUGACGCGAUAGUGAUUUUUUUCCUCUUCAUUCUGCCUAUAGCACAGAAAAAAAGAUUAUAAUCUGCAAAUGAUUUUUGGACAGGUCAUUUUCAAGAUAUCAGUUAACUUUAUUUAAUAAAUAAAAUAUAACAAAACCCGAAACCUCACCGGCACAUGCGUUCGUUCGUGUGUGUGUGUUUUUUUUUUCAGCAAGGCACAUGAGUUUGAUGAUGAUACGAGUGCACCGUGCACGUGAACGACACCUACUGAUGGGGACAGACGCUGGUACACGGGCCGCUUCCUCCGGCCCAAUCAGGCCUGCUUGUCCUCUGCUGCUGCCGGGAGGGGGGAGAGCAGCGGCAGCUCCAGGACGGACCAGAAGCAGGACCAACUUGGGAGGAAGAAGAGGAAGGUUCAACGGAAGCGCUGCUAACCUGGAAGAGAUCGUCUCUCCUUGUAAAAAGAAAAAAAAAGAAGAAGGUUCCAGUAUAUCCCAACGCGCACGUGUUUAAUUGAAGCGCGUUCCAUGCCAUGCAUCGAUCUCCUGCCGACUCAGCACAUGGCAUGCGUCAUGUACGUAUGAACCCGACCCGGUAGGCUUGCACAGCUAGCUCACAUUGCAUGAUCGAUGCAUAUUGCAUGCCCGUCCCAAUCCUUGCACCAACACAGCUCAGCGAGCACCGAGAGCACGCAUGCAGGCGACGGCUGGCCGUGGCCGGACGCGGACGGGGAAACGGUCGCCCGGAACAAAUGGCGCCCCACGCCGUUGCGUUCGGGAUGAGGUGCGCGCGCGCGUCAUCGGCCCCGCCCCCGCCCGUGUGUGAGCCGCGUCGCCGAUGGGCCGUCCGUCGUGGCUUAACGCCUAUAUACUCCGCGAGUGAGUCCCGCUGCCCGCGCCGGCGAGCGAGAUUAUUUUGCCUUGCAUUGCCAGCAUUGCCGUCCGCUGCGGUCACUUUCACCUAGAAUGAACCGCUCUGCCUCGCGUGCACGUGCACACAGAUAUUGUUGCAGUCUCUUGCAGGAUGCAUACCGUGUCGUCUCGUGGUACUGCACAUUUAAUCACUAGUAUAUUUUAGGCAGAUAUUCCAUCACAUUGUACUAGCGCAACCUUGUUGUUCGUGUAAAAUUUUAGGAUGUCGUAUAGAGAUGUUUUACAUGGUUUGCUCGUAUAUACUAAUAAAAAAACUAAUUAUAGAAUUUAUGAGUAAACUAUAAGACGAAUUUAUUAAGUCUAAUUAAUUUAUUAUUACUAUAUGUGUUACUGUAGCACUUUAUUAUAAAAUCAUUGACUAAUUAAGGCCUUGUUUAGAUGUAUUUUUUUAAAAAAAUUGCUACUGUAGCACUUUCGUUUUUUUGUGGCAAAUAUUGUCCAAUCAUAGACUAACUAGGGUUAAAAUGUUCGUCUCACGCAAAAUGUGUAACUAGUUUUUUGUUUUCGUCUAUAUUUAAUGCUUUAUGCAUGUACCGCAAGAUUCGAUGUAACGGGAAAUCUUGAAAACUCUUUGGUUUUCAGAGGUGAACUAAACAAGGCAUAAGCUUAAAACAUUUGUCUCGUAGUGCAAUUAAUUAUUUUUAGUCUAUAUUUAAUAUUUCAUGCAUGUGUCCAAGCAUUCGAUGGAGAGAGGAUAUAAACUUUUGGAGAGGAACUAAACAGAUUUUAUCCUCACCAAAUCAAACAUUUUAAGUUUUGACUAAUUUAUUUAUACAACAAAAAAUGUAGUAUAGCAUCUCCGACGUCAAACUAGUUUCAUUAAUUUUUUCCAGGACGUGUACUGUAUUUCAAUAGUGCGUUUAUUUAGACUUAUACAUAUGUUAAUGUAGUUUUCUAAAACUUUAUCAAAAUUAGUGAAGUUUGAUUUGGAACAAAACUAAACUAAACUAUAAAUUUGAAACAUAAUGAUACGAUGACAUUCUCAGGGAUACCAAAUAUAGGAAUCAUACGUCUGGUGGGGCAUGCUAUUUUAGUACAUAUAACAAAAGUGUAGAUUUUCCAUGAUUGGUCAUAAUAAAAGCAAUAAUAUAUUAAAGAAAAGGUACUGUAUAUAUAUACAGACACGCCAUGAUGGCAUGGGAGAAAAAACGUUGAACACAAAAGAGGGCGGCGCGAUGGAUAAUUGGAUAGGCAUGACGAUGCCACGCCUGCAGCUAAUGAUAACCACACGAGCGAACGAUGCCAUGAUCUCCGUUCGGAUUCCAUCCUCAAUCUCCGAAGAUAUGUUGGGGAUCGGAUCUGAUGAAUUAUAGCUGACAUCUGAGAGAUAUCACGUCUCAUCUGAUCCGCUCGGGGGCUGUUCAGUUAGGUGGUGAUUUUUUUUUGGAUUUUGUCUAUCGUAACAUUUUGAUUUGUAUUUCAUAAUUAUUAUUAAUAUUAUGGAUUAACUAGAUUUAAAUAUUUGUCUUGUAAAUAACAGGUAAAAUAUAUAAUUAAUUAUUUUUUAUCUAUAUUUAGUGCUUCAUACAUGUACCGUAAGAUUUGAUGUGAUGCAAAUAUUAAAAAACUUUAUAAAUUUUAAUCUUCUAUUCGCUUGUCUUAUAAGUCGUAAUUUUUCUGCUAGCCAACGGUGUUUUUCUCAUAAUAAAUCAGCGAACAGUAUUUUCAACCUUGACUUCUCAUACCAGCGAACAAGCUUGGUCCAUAAUAACCAUGUCGUUAUGGUUAAUGUGUGUUUUUAGUAACGGGUUUGUAUAUUAGGCAACAAUGUAUGAAAAUGAUGUGUCUCAAAGAAAGACGAUCAAGAGCUUAGAGAUAGAGCGUGUUAUGUAUGAGCGGAUUUGGUUGUUAGAUCACAAUGCAAGAGAAGAAUGUGUCUUCGAAAUACUAUUAAGGACUCAGAUUCAAGACUAAGAAUAGAGUCAAGUAUGGCCACUCGGGUGUUCGCAUGGGGGGAAUGAGAGCUUAUAGCAAAAUCGAAUCCAUAAGGUAGUUGAUCUACAAAACCUAUCAUGGUUCAUCUUAUUAUAGACAUAAUAAAACAACUACGGCCUUGUUUAGUUCAUCUCAAAGAUCAAAAUUUUUUAAAGAUUUCUCGUCACAUCAAAUCUUGCGGCACAUGCAUAAAGCAUGCAUUAAAUAUAAACAAAAACAAAAAUUAAUUGUACAACCUAUAAAUCGCGAGAUGAAUCUUUUGAGUCUAUUAAUUCAUGAUUGGACAAUAAUUGUUAAAUAAAAACGAAAGUGCUACAGUAUCUAAACAGAAAAAAAUCAAAACUAAACGAGGCCUACAUCACACUUUCUCGCAACCUGAUUAAUUUUAUCUGAACCUUUUCGGCUUCGUGAAGAAGCUGUCCCCAAAGCCUAAUUGACCUCCAAACCAAUGUGUCAAAAUUGCUAUCUUGAUUCUUGAUCGAGUUGAACACUUUAGGCCGGUUGCCCCAAAGCCUAAUUAUCCCCAACCUUUUAAACAUAUUCCACUUUUAAAGAUAUAUAUAGGUAUGAUCGUUUAUUCAUCAGUUGGUACAACACAUGAUUGAUAAAUGUCUGUCUAAAAAAUAGAACAAUUUAAUAAUACGGAUUCCCUAUCAUCUGAACGCAUCUAGAAUAGUGCUUCUGUUAAUCGUCAUGGAACAGAGAUGAAAAUAUUUUAUACUAUCAAGCAAACCAACAAAUGAUUUAAAUAAUGUUUAUCUUGGCAAAGCUUAAUAAUGUGUCAACAUCUAAACACUCAGCACCUCGUAUUUGCCGUAGGACUUGAAUUUUACCAUUAAGGGGGCAUAUACGACCAAAUAAAACCUUUUAGAUUUAGACACCGUAGCAUUUUUAUUUAUAUUUGAUAAUUAUUAUCCAGUCAUAGACUAACUAAAUUUAAAAUAUUUGUCUCGUAAAUUAUAGACAAAUUAUGCAAUUAGUUAUUUCUUUAUAUAUAUAUAUAUUUAAUGUUCUAUGCAAAUGGUGUAAGAUUCGAUGUGAUGAAAAAUUUUAAAAAGUUUUGAGUGUAAGUGUAACUAAACAAGGCCGUAAUACUACAUGCGUGAGAAGUUUUGGAACUCUACCGUAGUUCAUUCCACGUACGAUUCUACUACAAUCCUGCAACUGCAAUAGCUAGGAGCGCGGUUCGACGACGACUAGGAUCACAGACAGCCUUAACCUGCUUGCUUCCAAUUCAGGGAAGGAAACAACAAACAAGUUGGAUCGGGAUCGCGCUGGGCUGACGUGCCACUGGUUGAGGAUCGGAUGAGAAUGAGAUGUGCGCGCACGUCAUCAAUUGCCCUUGCCGCGUCGUCUCGUCGUCGUCCACGGUGGCCUUGUUUAAUUCCGAAUUUUUUUUAUAUUUUUUAACACAUCAAAUUUUGCAGUAUAUGUAUAUAAAAUAUUAAAUAAAAAUAAAAAACUAUUAAUUAUAUAAUUUAUCUAUAAUUUACGAAAUAAAUUUUUUAAAUCUAGUUAAUCUAUAAUUGAACAAUAUUUAUAAAAGAAAGUGAUACAAUGUCUAUUUUACUAAAAUAAUUUUUUAGAAGUAAACGACGCCUGAGCUUCCCGGUGACGACUGACGAUGUGUCGCUGUCGAGCGUACGUCAACUUUCACGAAUAUCUAUCCGCUGGUGUUAUCAGAGUCUUCGUUAUAUUCGCUCUUUCACGGAAAUGAAAUGAAUAUUGAACGGGAAGAUAGGCACAGCGAGUUGCAGAUCGAACCUGUAUGUGAUGUCACCCUAGUAGGCUAAAUAAAACUGCUGUGAGAUAUCUCGUGACCGAAAUGGGAGUUGUAACGAAACUUUGCAUUAUUGUUUGACUGGAAAUUCAUAGCAACAAGACGACGCUGCAGCAGGCUCUGCCUAAUAUGCGUGGUCGAAGCAGCAGAAGCUGAAAGUUAUGUUUCACUCGUCUGUCAUGGCAUUGGAAUAACUUCAACUUCCACCUCUGGACAUGUUCGUCCGCUUGUCGUUUUCCUUGCAAUCUUACAAUAUGGUGGACGAAGCAAGAAGAGCUAAAAUCAGGCGGUAAACGUCAACGCAAUCAAUAAGUCAUCAUUAGUACUUCCUCCAUCUAAAAAAAAUAUUGAUUUGCUUUUAUCCCAAGUCACUAAAAUUUGUAGACACCAAAUAAUUGUCAUUAAAUUAUUGAACAUGUUUUGAUAACAUACAUAUUUGGUGUCAUAAAUAUUAAUAAUCUUCUCUGUAAAUUGAGUCACAUGUGGGAUAGCCUCUCAACAACAAAUUAAUGCGUAUGGGUGUGCCUCGCUUAGAGCAACUUCAGUAGAGCCUCUACUUGAGUCCAUGUAGCCAAGUAUGGAUCCCAAGACAAAAAAUGUCAUUUUAGUAGGACCCCUACUACAAACUCUAAAAUUAUUGACGCUUAGCUGCCAAAGCAUCAAUAAAGGGGGGCGAUUACUUAGUUGUGCUACAGUAAUUUGACGCUUAGCUGCCAAAGCAUCGGUUUUAAAAUUAGGCGGAACCCUGAUUUACUAACGACACAUACUCUACCAACGACCGUGGGGCUAUUUAGCGAGUAAUACACAUAUUACUGCUGCUGCAUGUGAGCUUGCUUCUCAUUAGUCAUAACUUGUAAGCUUUUGCAGUGGUUCUUACUUCCUAGAUCUACCUGCCGCUUCAACAUGGGUUUGAGGCAAGCAGGGGCCAAAGCCCAAAUUGACCUCCACUGAGCUCCGGCCCUAGCUGAAGCCCAGAUGACCGCCUAAGAUUAUCGGGUCCUAAGUUCGUCAUUGCAUUGUAUACUGUUAACUAUGCCCUAAAAACAUGUCAUAUUAUAUAUUAACCCCGGAAAAGAAAAAACGUGGACCAAAAGUGAUGUGGGAUGGGAUGGACGGGCAACAACUGGAUGAUGGCAAUCAUACUGUACCCACACGGGGCUAUGGUUCGCGAUCUCAUGAUCAUUUCGGGGACCUCAUCAUCCUCAUCGAUUGAUCCGAUGAACAUGCAUGGGCAUCCGAUCCGGUCUCGUAUACGUGGACGAGUGCUCGCCGGCCGCCGGGAGAGAAGUGAAUAAUUAGGUGCACCCACAGCUUUGGCUUCUACCAUGCGGAUGAAAAAUAUAGGAAAAUUUUCAUUUGCAUUUGAUUAUAGAGGAAAACCAGGGGUAAAAAAACAUCUGAAUCAAACCUCAUCACAUCUUGUUUCAUGUGAUUUUCAUACGAAAUUCUUAUGCUUUUUAUUCUUUUGUUUUGCAUGUCGUGUCCUCUCCUAUUCAUGUAUUCCAAAAGGGACCUAAACAAUCGUAUAAUUUCACUUUUGUUAAGGUAAAUUUUUUUAUCGAACCUAGAUAGCGGUGUUCAGUGUUCCCUUCCAUUCCCAUCCUCGUUGAAAAAUUCUGAAACAAUUUGAAAGACGCAUUUUAAGAGCGGCAGCACGGUGCUGUAGCGUCGUGCUGGUAAAACGUGGUCGUCAGACACACACACACACAAAAAAGAAAAAGAAAAAAAAAGUCCGCGCACGUACGGCGAUCUCAUCUUUUCCGUGAACCACCGUCCCACGAUGAGCGCACGUACGCAGGCUGCUGCGAAUCUGCCGAGUUUUUUGUGUCAGGCCCAGGGCGAAUCUGCGCAUUUUAUUACAUCACCAGGCCUUGUUUAGUUCUGAAAAGUGAAAAUUUUUCAGUACUGUAGCACUUUCGUUUGUUUGUGAUAAAUAU